AAUAGAUAUCGAAGGACAAGAGGAGAAAAUAUUAAAUACAUCUAAUAGACAACUCUGCCUUAAUAUGUGGUAUUUACCAAUGAGAUUAAAACAUAGAAGUUAUUUGGGGUGCACAGUAGAUGGUGCUAAAAAAACCUGCCCCUAGUCUUCUGGGCCAAGACAGUGCCCUUUUGAAAUUUUGUUUUUCUUUAUUAUUAUUUUCUUCAUUGUAUUUAUUUAUUUAUUUAUUACAAUAAAGCAAUUCUAUUAAAAAAUGUAGUUAUGAAUGUCCCAAAAUACACCCCUCCUAAACCCCUUCCAUCCCCCGGAAAAUACGAAAAUGUAAUUUUAGAAAUGUCAAUUUAAUUUUGCGUCUUGAAGCAAUAUGAGACGCGAGUUGUUCCGUAUUUCUAAAAAUAUCCAAUACACACGUAUGUCACACACAUAUCAAAACUAAAUGUAAUACGACGGGGUGUUUCCAAGGAUCCGACCAAACAAAUUCAGCGUUUAAACUGAGCCACUGAGGACGACUCCGGUCUCUGUAGUAAUAUGCCAGGCCUGUACGUAGCGCUGUGCCAACCAGGCUCUAACAUAAUCACCGGCCCGAUAGAAAACACACCGGAAGAGAGGCAAAUUUGUCUUGGCUCCGCAGAGGAAACACAUGGCUUGUGACGUCAGACGCCGAAAAAGUUCGCCGCUGGCCUUUAAAAGCCACAGGGAUACGAAGUUGUUCCUAAUUUACUGCUCGACCGGUGCGGGAUGAACGGUACACAUAUAAAAUAUGGAAUUUCUGCAAAUGGACCUCGGGUUGAAGUAAUCCAGCGUCAACAUUUACUCCUGACAUUGAAAGACAAGAUUUUCCAGUCAACAUAAAGCUCUUCAACACGGUAGGGAGCGUCAGAUUUUAUUCUUUGUGGCUGCCGUGCCGCUGCAAUCCGCUGCGCGGCUGCCGUGCCGCUGCAAUUCGCUGCGCGGCUGCCAUGCCGCCUCUAUCCCCUUUACGGCUUCUGCACCGCUUUUACUCCUUUCUCGGCUGCCGCGCCGCUUCUAUCCUCUUCCCGGCUGCCGCGUCGCCUCUACCCCUUUCUCGGCUGCCGUGCCGCCUUUACUCCUUUCUUGGCUGCCGCGCCGCUUCUAUCCAAUUCCCGGCUGCCGCGCCGCCUCUAACUUCUUCCCGGCUGCCACGCCGCCUCUAACCUCUUCCCCGCUGUGCUGUAGACUCUAAGGAACAUUUUUACUUUUAAAAUUUAGAGGUCAGUAGCAGUUUUUAUAAUUGAAACAUCGACAAUUUUCAAAACAUGAUGAUGACAUGAUGGAACCUUCAACCAAACAACCUCCGCUUGUUUUCAAUCUCAUCGAUGUAUCUUUGGUUGAUUACGAUCCAUGUUACUGUUUUCUGUUUUGGCUGUUGUUGAACUUGAGUUUUGCUUUAUUUUUAUAACCCUAGCAAUUUUCUGAUGUGAA